AAGUAUGAACUUGAAGGUUUGAGGCUGGCCUUAUAGGCAUGUGCGCACCUUCACUUUCUUAUUCCACAUACACCUGUGCACCUAUACAGUUCAGAGUUGGCUUCCGAGGAGUUAUACUCCACGAGCCGUUUCCAUAUGAUUGCUGCUUCGGCAGCCUAUGUAUGGUUACUGGGGCCGCUCGCUCUGUUUCAUAUACCCCAUAAGAGUAAUUUAAACGCAUGUCUUUUGUGAGCUCUAAGGAGCUUUAACAAACUUA
rnacentral:misc_RNA from 1 species